UAUCGUAAGGCACGUUUCACUGGGUCAUUGUGAGUUGAGUUAUAUUCAGAAAGUAAUAGAGUUUAUAUUUGCAUGGAUUGCGUGAUUCGGUCGAGCGUAGUAUUCAACAAAUUCGCACGUCUAACUUAUAGCAUUGAUGGCUCGGCGGUACAACGUGUUACCGUGCAAACUUCCACCGAAAAUUGGUUUGAACAAGAUCUAGUAAGUAGUUUAUUUUUAAUACGUCAUAAAUUUUUUCAUCAAACCCAUACAUGUGGGGUAUCUAUGGAUAGGUCUUCAAAAAUGAUAUUUAGGUUCCUAAUAUAAUUUUUUUCUAAACUGAAUAGUUUGCGCGAGAGACAUUUCCAAAGUGAAAAAAUGUGUCCCCCCCCCCCCUGUAACUUCUAAAAUAACAGAAUGAAAAAUCUAAAAAAAAUAUAUGAUAUACAUUACCAUGCAAACUUCCACCGAAAAUUGGUUUGAACGAGAUCUAGUAAGUAGUUUUUUUAAUGUGUCAUAAAUGGUACGGAACCCUUCAUGGGCGAGUCCGACUCGCACUUGGCCGCUUUUUUAAAGAUGUUCAAUCAAGUGGUGUUUCCUACACACCCUCUAAUUAAAGUCUUGCGUAGCUAAUUCUCAAUACCACGCACUUAGCUACUUCUACUGCUGGAGUACACCUAAUGUAUCUGGCUCCAGAAGUGAAUGCCUACCUCAAAAAAUGGCUAUACUGCUAAAAAAGUACAAUGCACAUUAUCUAUGAGGAUAAAAUCUGUAAUGCAAUAUUAUUAUUAUUUACGUAGAAAAAUGAUAUAAAGCAGAAAGCCAAUGGCGAAGGAAAUGGCCACAAACUUGAAUAGCUACCUAGUGGCAAUAGUAUAACGUCCCUAGUCAUUCAUAUUGAUUGUCAAUGUGACAAGGUACGAAAUGAAAUGGUACUGAAAUUAAAUUCUUUUUACCUACUUGAUCUUUUAGAGAACAAGAGCCAAUAAUAAAGAAUUUAAUAAAUUAAUUAUAUUUAUAUUAUGUAUUGUAUAAAUAUGUGGUAGUUUAUUAUUAUUACUUAUUUAUGUAGUUUAUAAGUCUGGUUUGCUUUUUUAUUCAUUCAAUUUUUCUUUGCACCAAUUCUAGGUAUCUCUGUUUGGCCCUAUGGUUGGUAGAGAAUGCCAUUUGGCAUUAAGUCCGCCAUUUGUACAUUGUUGUAUAUAUUUUGUGCAAUCAAGUUUAAAUAAAUAAAUAGGUACUCAUUCCUAAGUUAUUAGAAUCGUAACGAAGAUCGUUCGUUAGAAUGAAGUAACUUACGACAGCAACGCAGCGAUACGUAGAAGUGAGAUGAAAAUAUCUUCUUCAUAUUACGUAUUAUGGUUUCCCUCUCGUCAGUUACUAAAUUCAGGAAGGUGUGUCAACAGCUUUAGUUACUUAGUUACCUAUUUAAGGAGUAGUUAUCGAAGAACUCAAAAACUAAAAAGUCCAAAUCCGCCGUAAUCAUCAGUGAUCGGAAUUGGUAAUGCCAUUUCGCGGGACUUCGGUACGUAAGCUUAGUAUGGAUAUAGUUUUUAACCCCAGGAUUUGAUAUGAACAUUUUAAAGUUUGUGUUUAGUAAAAAAUGUUUUAAAGAACUGCGGACCAUAGUAUACCUGGACAAUUUUUUAACAUGCCAGAAUAUCUAUAUAUAUCUGCUAUACACAGUGAAGUAGCAAAAAAAAAAGUGUUAUCGAUUGGUGAAACGACAGACUUUUUAGGCAGAUAUGUGGUCCAUUUUUUGGUGAAGCCAUUGGAUGGCAUGUAAAGUGCAAGCAGUAGUGAAUGGGGAGAUGGGAAACUAUUGCUAAGUUUGUUAUAGACUGCUUAGAAAUAUGCGGGGUGAAACCUAUGAAAAUCAACUCGAUAAUGUGCUUCUAUUAUGUACUGAUAGUGUUGCGUAUAUGUUGAAGGCGGGGCGAAUUUAAAAAAAGUGUUUUACCGAAAAUGAAACAUAUUUCAUGCUUAGCUCAUGCUCUGCAUCGGGUGGCAGAGCAAAUAAGAUGUCAAUAUCCGGAUGUAGACACCCUGAUCGCUAACUUGAAAAAAGUAUUUUUAAAGUCUCCUAGUAGAGUGCAACUGUUAAAGGAAAUUUAUCCAAAUUUGCCUUUACCUCCUAAGCCAAAUAAUUACUAGUCGGGGGACCUGGCUCGCUGCAGUGUCUUACUAUGUAAAGUACUUUAAUGAAAUAAAUACGGUCUUGUCACGACCAAAAACUUCAGAUGCAGUUUGGAUUAAAAGGUGCUUAAAAAACCCAACAUUAAAAGAGAUUUAUUUUUUAUUCCUGAAAAUUGUAAUAUAAUCGAGGUGGUUUUAACUUGUUUACAGGAACGUAAUAUGUCAAUGCCUUAAUAGAUUUUGAUCAAAUUAGGAUGGUCAUAAAUUGGUCUACUAGUUUUCCCUUAAAAACCAAGCGGUUAUGUCUCGAAAUCCGGAUUUACAUACUACAGGGUGGACAAAUAAGAAUGAUACACUUUGUUUUUAAAUUUUAAUUAAGUAUAUUACAUUAAGUGGAAAUUUUAUUAAAUAUUUUUUCAUAAAUAUAUUAUUCAGGGUUGGCAAUUGUAUACGGAAGAUAAUUUCUGCCAAAUGUAUACCACUAGCAGCAAGCAAUUUUAUCUCAAAUGUUUCUGUUGUUUAAAACACGUUGUUUGCUCGAUUAAUUUUGAAAAAAAGUGACAGUGAUUGGCACCCAAAUUCUCCAAAUUUUGUAGCUCUUGACUUAUUUCUGUGGGGCUAUCUAAAAUUACGUGUCUAUGCUAACGAGCUGAUGAAAUUUAAACAGUUAAAACCGACUAUUCGACACAAAUGUACUAAGAUAAUGCCAAAAAUGUGCGAAUAGAUGCUGAACAUUGGGAUGAUAAGGGCUUACAUUUGCCUGCUGUUAGAGGUGGACAUAUAUGUCAGACAUUAUGUUUCGCAUGAAUUUGCCAACCCUGAAGAAUAUAUUUUUAAAACAAUACCUAAUUAUUUUUGAACUUAAUACAGUUAAAAUUUAAAAACAAAAUGUAUACUUCUUAUUUGGCCACCCUGUAUAAGAGAAUUCGCAGAUAUUAUUUUAAAAAAAUUUGACGAUGACAUUUCGUUUCAUAAAUUUGCACCGCUGACAUCAGUAAAGGUUGAAGGGUCAUUUUAUAAACGUGUAUUAGACGCCAAAAGAAAAAGAUUGACAGUAGAAAAUAUUGAAAAAAAAAUUUAUUUGUUACUAUAAUUUCAAAGAAAGUAAGGAAUAAAAGAUGUUAAAUAAAUAACUAAUAAUUUAAUAAUGUUAAUUUAAUAUAGUGAUGAUGAUGAUUCGUGUUUUAUUUUAUGAUUGUAUUAUUGUUAAUUGUAACUGUUAAACGAAAGUAAUUUUAGUCAGAGAAUCUCAAGUCUUAUCCAUGUUAUGUACAAUAUUUAAGGUCAUUCACCCGAAAUGGCUCUACCUAUUCCGAUCACUGGUAAUCAUAUACGUAUGUAAACAACAGCUUUAGUACCUAUCUCUGACUAGAAAGUAGAUAGGUACCUAAUUUGAAAGCAUGAAAGUUAAUUUUACAUAGGUACGUACGUAUGCACCAACGCCAUAACAUUUUUGGCUCUAUGGGCACACCAACUCAUACGACACCUAGUGUUCUUGAAGUUCAAAGGGAAAAUGGUUGUAAAUGUACAUAGGUAGGUAGGGUAUACUAUUUUGUGCUUAGAUUUCCAGAGAAUCAGCGUCGACUGCCAAUUAUAGACGUGGUACCUGGUCGGCGCUCCCCGCACCAACUACAGGCCUACGACAUACAUAAGAGGAGUAUAUCAUAUUGUAGAGAUUACUUUAGGAAUAUUAUAAGACUUGGCCUCAAAAGGCUGAUCGCCGACCUAGCUACUUUGAUGUAGCUUUAAAUGAAUAGCAAAUUUAUGAUAUUCAAUUUCACGUUUGACGUGGUGACCUGGUGACCUGGUUCCAAUAUAAAGUCAUUGCCGUCUCUGCUAUUAAAUAGGUAGGUAACUUUUAUAGCUGGUGUCAUGGCUGGCAUAAGGUAGAUGAGUCAUGCUAAGCUCGACUAUGCUUAGAGAUAUAAACGAUAUUAACAAGUUAAAUCGUCGGAAGUCUGAAUCUACCUCUUAUUCGUUAAUCGUCCCUAACACACUGAUGACUAGUGUCUAAACUCUAUAAGUCUAUAGGACCUAUCUCAGUAGACUGACAGCAAACUUAAGGCACAAGCUCGAGCCCGGGGACUGCAGACGUCGCCGAGUCGCCGAGUUCCAACUGGUACCUUUAAGAUCCCGAAUGGACGAUGCUGAACUCAUGGAAGAGCUACGCGACACGUCCGUCCGUUACAACUGCAGGUCAGCUUGUGUAGUGGAAUUACAGUAGGUAUUCUUGAUAUAGGUAAACUACAAGAGACGAGUGAUUCAUUCAAUUAUCACUCUAGUCAGAAUAUGAUAUGAAACCAAUAAAAUAAUUAAUUUUAAAA